GACGAACGCUGGCGGCGUGCUUAACACAUGCAAGUCGAACGGAAAGGCCCUGCUUUUGUGGGGUGCUCGAGUGGCGAACGGGUGGGUAACACGUGAGUAACCUGCCCUUGACUUUGGGUUAACUUCAGGAAACUGGGGCUAAUACCGGCUAGGAGCUCCUGCUGCAUGGUGGGGGUUGGAAAGUUUGGGCGGUUGGGGAUGGACUCGAGGCUAAUCAGCUUGUUGGUGGGGUAGUGGCUUACCAAGGCUUUGACGGGUAGCCGGCCUGAGAGGGUGACCGGGCACAUGAGGACUGAGAUACGGCGCAGACGCCAACGGGAGGCAGCAGGGGGGAGUAUGGCGGAGUGGCGGGGAGCCUGAUGCAGCAGCGCCGCGUGCGGGAUGAUGGCCUUCGAGUGAUGAACGACUGUCUACUAUGACGAAGCGGUAGAGACGGUAAUUGAUAAGAAAGCAACGGCUAACUACGUG
rnacentral:rRNA from 1 species